rnacentral:rRNA from 1 species
AUGAACGCUGGCGGCGUGCCUAAUACAUGCAAGUCGAGCGAACGGACGAGAAGCUUGCUUCUCUGAUGUUAGCGGCGGACGGGUGAGUAACACGUGGAUAACCUACCUAUAAGACUGGGAUAACUUCGGGAAACCGGAGCUAAUACCGGAUAAUAUUUUGAACCGCAUGGUUCAAAAGUGAAAGACGGUCUUGCUGUCACUUAUAGAUGGAUCCGCGCUGCAUUAGCUAGUUGGUAGGGUAACGGCUUACCAAGGCAACGAUGCAUAGCCGACCUGAGAGGGUGAUCGGCCACACUGGAACUGAGACACGGUCCAGACUCCUACGGGAGGCAGCAGUAGGGAAUCUUCCGCAAUGGGCGAAAGCCUGACGGAGCAACGCCGCGUGAGUGAUGAAGGUCUUCGGAUCGUAAAACUCUGUUAUUAGGGAAGAACAUAUGUGUAAGUAACUGUGCACAUCUUGACGGUACCUAAUCAGAAAGCCACGGCCAACUACGUG